rnacentral:tRNA from 1 species
UCGUUAGCUCAGUUGGUAGAGCAGUUGACUUUUAAUCAAUUGGUCGCUGGUUCGAAUCCAGC